UACGGAGGGUGCAAGCGUUAUCCGGAUUCACUGGGUUUAAAGGGUGCGUAGGCGGAUUGGUAAGUCCGUGGUGAAAUCUCUAAGCUUAACUUAGAAACUGCCAUGGAUACUAUUAGUCUUGAAUGUUGUGGAGGUUAGCGGAAUAUGUCAUGUAGCGGUGAAAUGCAUAGAUAUGACAUAGAACACCAAUUGCGAAGGCAGCUGGCUACACAAAUAUUGACGCUGAGGCACGAAAGCGUGGGGAUCAAACAGG
rnacentral:rRNA from 1 species